CACUGCCCUCGGCUUCUUUACAGUGCUGCCUUGUUGCAAAUGGAUCAAGCAGCAUUGUACAGGGCUAUGAAGGCAUUG
rnacentral:pre_miRNA from 1 species